AUGAAAAGAGAUGACGAAACCAAAAGGCAUGGGGGUCUAGGCUUUAAAGACAUUGAGCUUUUUAACUUGUCACUACUAGCCACACGACCAUGGCGCUUGCUGCAGAACCCAGAGUCCCUUAGUGCCCGCAUCUUGAGGGGGGUUUACUACCCGGGGCAAACAAUUUUGAAUGCAAACUUGGGAUCCCACCCAAGUCAAAUCUGGAGAGCAAUUGUUGAUGGAAGAGAUAUUCUUAAUCAGGGCUUGAUAAAGAGAAUUGCUAAUGGGGAAGACACACUGAUUUGGUCAGAAAAUUGGCUGCCAAGAGAUGAGAUGUUGAGACCGUACAGGUGUUUGACGCAGGACCCGCCUCAAUGCGUCGCCGAGCUGAUAGACCCAACGACGGCGACCUGGGACAUGCAGAAGGUCCGCCAAGUUUUCCUUCCUUUCGAAGCGAAGGUGAUAGCAGGAAUACUGAUGUGUACUAGCAAUGCUCUAGAUUUUUGGUGUUGGCAUUUUGAGAAGAAGGGUCAAUUCUCAGUAAAAUCUGCUUACAACAUGUUGGUGGCAACGAAGCAGAGAAGGGAAGCAUGGUUAGAUGGUUCAGCGACCACAUCUAGCGAAAGGGGAGAGGAGAAGCAUUGGAAAUCUUUGUGGAAUACAAAAGUACCAGCCAAGGUAAGGAUGUUCUUAUGGAUACUAUCAAAACAAUCGCUGCCGAUGGAAGACGUAUGUGCUAACCGGCAUAUGUCAACUACCUCAGCUUGCGGUAUUUGGGGUGCUCCAGAUUCAUGGCGGCACUCGCUGAUAGAGUGUACUGUGUCUAGAUGCACUUGGGCCUUGGCAGAGGAAGACCUAGGGCAAGCUUUGGUUUCCGACACGGAAUGGCAUGCGAAGCAUUAG
rnacentral:rRNA from 1 species